rnacentral:rRNA from 1 species
CUGUUGCCUCGGCGGGGUCACGCCCCGGGUGCGUCGCAGCCCCGGAACCAGGCGCCCGCCGGAGGAACCAACCAAACUCUUUCUGUAGUCCCCUCGCGGACGUAUUUCUUACAGCUCUGAGCAAAAAUUCAAAAUGAAUCAAAACUUUCAACAACGGAUCUCUUGGUUCUGGCAUCGAUGAAGAACGCAGCGAAAUGCGAUAAGUAAUGUGAAUUGCAGAAUUCAGUGAAUCAUCGAAUCUUUGAACGCACAUUGCGCCCGCCAGUAUUCUGGCGGGCAUGCCUGUCCGAGCGUCAUUUCAACCCUCGAACCCCUCCGGGGGAUCGGCGUUGGGGAUCGGGACCCCUCACACGGGUGCCGGCCCCGAAAUACAGUGGCGGUCUCGCCGCAGCCUCUCCUGCGCAGUAGUUUGCACAACUCGCACCGGGAGCGCGGCGCGUCCACGUCCGUAAAACACCCAACUUUCUGAAAUGUUGACCUCGGAUCAGGUAGGAAUACCCGCUGAACUUAAGCAUAUCAAU